rnacentral:rRNA from 1 species
UACGUAGGGCGCAAGCGUUGUCCGGAAUUAUUGGGCGUAAAGAGCUCGUAGGCGGCUUGUCGCGUCGGACGUGAAAUCCCUCGGCUUAACCGGGGAACUGCGUCUGAUACUGGAUGGCUUGAGAUUGGGAGAGGGAUGCGGAAUUCCAGGUGUAGCGGUGAAAUGCGUAGAUAUCUGGAGGAACACCGGUGGCGAAGGCGGCAUCCUGGACCAAAACUGACACUGAGGAGCGAAAGCCAGGGGAGCAAACGGG